rnacentral:lncRNA from 1 species
GAGAUUGUGAUCAGGUGGCACAGAAACCUGGGAUGGUGAAAAAACCAGGUUGCCACUGCAGAUACGGUGUCUGAGGUAGAGCAUAUGCCAGGGGUCUUGUAGGCACGUGUGUGGGUUUUUGGUGGGAAAGUCUAUGAGGAAAGGUAGCGUGGCAACAAUCUUGAUGCCGAAGCCCUGUCCUGGGAGGGGCUUGACCACAUCAACACGCAGUGCGUAUGUUCGGUGGGUGAAAAACAUGUGGUGGCCUCAGGUUGGCAGGAGGGCAGAGGGCAUCUGUUCUCAGAAAUUCUUCCCUCAGAGUCCUUGGUCCUUCUCACCCUGGGAGGAUGCCUGGAACCACAGGGCAGUGCAUGGUGUAGCAGGCUGUGUGCAGAGCAGAGCCUACCUUCCCCGAGACACCUGGAGUCUCUCUCCAGCAGAGGCCCCCACAUUGUCUUUCUUCUUACAACACUUUUGAUCCUGAAGGUGUAAAGUUCCCUGAAAACCCACUGAUUCUCCAACACCCAUUUGUUGCCCCAAAAUUUAAUUCUGACACAACUUAGAGUUCGCACAGACCCCACAAAUUCAGGGCUCAGUCUCACAUCACCGCUCUCACUGCAGAGGACAGUCACAUGUCCCGGAAGCCCAUCUAUACUGCUGAGCUACCUCCUAUAAAUCUGAGACUCCCAUAAACCCCUUUUCAAGUUAAAUAAUUUGACAGAAUUACUUAAAAAAAAACAAAUAACUCUAAUUAUAUUUACCACUUUAUUAUAAAAAUAUAACUCAGAAACAGCCAAAUGGAAGAGAUGUCUAGGGCAAGGAACAGUUGUGGGUGAAGGUAAUCCUGGAAAUAGCUAUAUUCAAAGAAAUUCCCCCAUUCUUUGUAUUCUCAAAGAACAGCUUAGUGAAGAGAAACGUGCUUCCCAUUAUGACUUUGGGGAUGCUCCCCGCUGUUUUUUUUAAACCUAUCACAAAGAUGGACACAGAUUGCAAAUUCCUAUUUUUAAAAAUGAACAAUCAUUCAGUAAUUUAGUCUUCAGUGGUCAAAACAAAGUACUCGUUACAAAAAUUUUGCUUGUUUCUCUUCUUCCAACCAGCCCAUGAACUUUGACUCACCCACAGCCUCAGCAAACCUACAACCCUUAUUUAUACAUACCCUUCCUAAGAACAGGCUGACUUCAAGGUGAAACAUUACCUUAUCUGGGAUCAGAUUUUGCUACCCUCCAUCCUGUGCUUCCCUUCCUACCUUCUUUGUAAACUUGUUUUCUCCUCCCUAUGAAAUAAAGCCCUUUUCCACCUAACCUUUGAGAUCCUCAAAGAUCUAAUCAUUUGUACUUUUUCUUUGUUGCAAUGCUUCUUAGGUAUCUUCUUAGACCAAGUCUAGAAACAGUCUUAGGACAAUAACAAUUCCAUUCUAGAAAGAAUCUCCCAACAUUUCUUCUAUCUCAACCUCAACUGCAUCUGCCUGUGAACUUCCAGCUUACCAAGGCUCUAUAUCUUCUGGCAGUGACAAAGGCUCCUUCCAUGGUUGGUGUGAGCAGGCUUGGACACCUGCAGGGCAGACACCCAGGAAUAAUCAACUGGGCCUUAAGUGGUCCCCUUUUGCUGGAUCAAGGUGGGCCUUAGCUUUUAGUCAAUGGUCUAAGACCUCUACUUACCAGUUAGAGUCAUUCAGUUAGUUUUCAAUUUAAAAAAUACUUCAUGUUUGAAGAAUCCAGCAAAAAUUAUUCAAAUCUAAGGUAUAAAAGAGAGGAAAUUAUGGCCGGGCAUGGUGACUCAUGCCUGUAAUCCCUGCAUUUUGGGAGGCCGAGGUGAUCCAACCUCAGGUGAUCCAACCGCUUCAGCUUCCCAAAGUGCUGGGAUUACAGGCAUGAGCCAAUAUACUCGGCCUGAGAAUUCAUAUUUCUAACGAAGUACAAAUCCAUAGGUCACAUGACAACUGCAAUAUCUAUCUACAGUAGAUACAGUUUGAUGAAUAAAAUGAAAGGCAAUUGACCUAAGGUG